rnacentral:rRNA from 1 species
UACGUAGGGGGGCAAGCGUUGUCCGGAUUUAUUGGGCGUAAAGAGCGUGUAGGCGGCCUGAAAGGUCAGCUGUGAAAACUCGAGGCUCAACCUCGAGACGUCGGUUGAAACCAUCUGGCUAGAGUCCGGAAGAGGAGAGUGGAAUUCCCGGUGUAGCGGUGAAAUGCGCAGAUAUCAGGAGGAACACCGGUGGCGAAGGCGGUUCUCUGGGCAUGUCCUGACGCUGAGGAGCGAAAGUGUGGGGAGCGAACAGG